AUUGAACGCUGGCGGCAUGCCUUACACAUGCAAGUCGAACGGUAACAGGUCUUCGGAUGCUGACGAGUGGCGAACGGGUGAGUAAUACAUCGGAACGUGCCCGAUCGUGGGGGAUAACGAGGCGAAAGCUUUGCUAAUACCGCAUACGAUCUACGGAUGAAAGCGGGGGAUCUUCGGACCUCGCGCGGACGGAGCGGCCGAUGGCAGAUUAGGUAGUUGGUGGGAUAAAAGCUUACCAAGCCGACGAUCUGUAGCUGGUCUGAGAGGAUGAUCAGCCACACUGGGACUGAGACACGGCCCAGACUCCUACGGGAGGCAGCAGUGGGGAAUUUUGGACAAUGGGCGAAAGCCUGAUCCAGCCAUGCCGCGUGCAGGAUGAAGGCCUUCGGGUUGUAAACUGCUUUUGUACGGAACGAAAAGCCCUUUCUAAUAAAGAGGGGUCAUGACGGUACCGUAAGAAUAAGCACCGGCUAACUACGUG
rnacentral:rRNA from 1 species